ACGGCCGCAAGGUUAAAACUCAAAUGAAUUGACGGGGUCCCGCACAAGCGGUGGAUCAUGUGGUUUAAUUCGAUGCAACGCGAAGAACCUUACCUGGUCUUGACAUCCACAGAACUUUCCAGAGAUUGAUUGGUGCCUUCGGGAACUGUGAGACAGGUGCUGCAUGGCUGUCGUCAGCUCGUGUUGUGAAAUGUUGGUUUAAGUCCCGCAACGAGCGCAACCCUUAUCCUUUGUUGCC
rnacentral:rRNA from 1 species